rnacentral:rRNA from 1 species
AGUGAACGCUGGCGGCAGGCCUAAUACAUGCAAGUCGAACGGCAGCACAGCAGAGCUUGCUCUGUGGGUGGCGAGUGGCGGACGGGUGAGGAAUACGUGGGAAUCUGCCCAGUCGUGGGGGAUAACGUAGGGAAACUUACGCUAAUACCGCAUGCGCCCUUCGGGGGAAAGCCGGGGGACCUUCGGGCCUGGCGCGAUUGGAUGAGCCCACGUCGGAUUAGCUAGUUGGCGGGGUAAAGGCCCACCAAGGCGACGAUCCGUAGCUGGUCUGAGAGGAUGAUCAGCCACACUGGAACUGAGACACGGUCCAGACUCCUACGGGAGGCAGCAGUAGGGAAUAUUGGACAAUGGGCGCAAGCCUGAUCCAGCCAUGCCGCGUGAGUGAAGAAGGCCCUCGGGUUGUAAA